rnacentral:rRNA from 1 species
GACGAACGCUGGCGGCGUGCUUAACACAUGCAAGUCGAGCGGGAAAGUUCCCUUCGGGGAGCGAGUACAGCGGCGCACGGGUGAGUAACACGUAGGUAACCUACCCUGGAGUCUGGGAUAACCUGCCGAAAGGCGGGCUAAUACCAGAUAAGACCACGAGGGCUGCGGCCCUUGGGGAAAAAGAUGGCCUCUGCUUGCAAGCUAUCACUCUGGGAUGGGCCUGCGCGCCAUUAGCUAGUUGGUGAGGUAACGGCUCACCAAGGCAGAGAUGGCUAGCUGGUCUGAGAGGAUGGCCAGCCACACUGGGACUGAGACACGGCCCAGACUCCUACGGGAGGCAGCAGUGGGAAUAUUGGACAAUGGGCGAAAGCCUGAUCCAGCCAUGCCGCGUGAGUGAUGAAGGCCUUAGGGUUGUAAAGCUCUUUUGCCCGGGAAGAUAAUGACGGUACCGGGAGAAUAAGCCCGGCUAACUUCGUGCCAGCCGCCG